UGGGGAAUAUUGGACAAUGGGCGAAAGCCUGAUCCAGCCAUGCCGCGUGUGUGAAGAAGGUCUUCGGAUUGUAAAGCACUUUAAGUUGGGAGGAAGGGCAUUAACCUAAUACGUUAGUGUUUUGACGUUACCGACAGAAUAAGCACCGGCUAACUCUGUGCCAGCAGCCGCGGUAAUACAGAGGGUGCAAGCGUUAAUCGGAAUUACUGGGCGUAAAGCGCGCGUAGGUGGUUUGUUAAGUUGGAUGUGAAAUCCCCGGGCUCAGCCUGGGGACUGCAUUCAAAACUGACUGACUAGAGUAUGGUAGAGGGUGGUGGAAUUUCCUGUGUAGCGGUGAAAUGCGUAGAUAUAGGAAGGAACACCAGUGGCGAAGGCGACCACCUGGACUAAUACUGACACUGAGGUGCGAAAGCGUGGGGAGCAAACA
rnacentral:rRNA from 1 species